rnacentral:lncRNA from 1 species
CAUCUCCCGGCGGCAACAUCAGGUGCUUUGACCUUGGUUCUUCUGUGAUUUUUUUCCAGUUGUUGAAGCACGUGUGGACGACUCACCAGGCCCUUGUCGGCGCAUCGGCAGACUGGAAACCCUGCUCGCCUUUUCCACGUGGACGAGUGUCCUCACGCCGGGGCCUGGCCAGGGGCUCGCUCCCCAUGUCUGAGGGCGCCGAGUCCCCGCUGUGGCCGCUGGCUCAGGGCCCAGCUGGGGUCCGACGGAGGGGGCGGCAGAGCAGGGCUGCAGGCAGGAGUGCUUCCUGGUGGCGAUGGUGAGGCGGCCUCCUGAGGACGCUGGUGAUGGGGCAGCGUCUCCCCUCCACUCUCCUCUCGUGCCUUCAUCGUCAUUUAGGUGGAAAAUCAAGAGUGUCGUGCUCCGCCCAGGGCUCCGUGUCCGCCGCCGGGUGAGUCUCCGGCAGGGGAAUCUGAUGAUGCGGUUAGCUGGGCUUGGGUCACAGAGCCAUCCCAGCUGAAGGGAGGAGCCAGCCCCCACCCGCACAGAACGACGGAGGCGAUGGCGCUCCAGGGAAAAUGCAGGCCCGUUACUAGAAGGGCGUGGGUUGCGUGC